rnacentral:lncRNA from 1 species
AGGAUAUUCACUCCUAUAUUGUUCAUUCUUCAAUCUUUGGCUUUUCUAUGAUAUCCCUGCUAUUAUGAACUUUCCAGAGUGUUUAGGGAGUUGUUUUAUGAAUUUUGUGUUCUCUUCAUGGUUUUUAGAGAUGAGGAAAUACGUUUUAGUGUACUGAUUCCGUCUUAAUUGUUACUAUAAGUCCAUAGUUGGUUUUAAGCCUGUUUAACUACUCACUGAAGUGAAAAUUUACUUUAAUAAACAUGUUUCUGAAAGUCAACCAGUCAGAGACAGCAUCAUAUCUUUUAAGUGAGCCAAUCAGCCACCAACUAACUUUGGAAAACACUGCUUGAUCAAACCAUAUUGGAAUCUGAAUCAAAAGAAAAUAUAUAUGCAGAUGUAUAUUGUGUAAAUAUACAUUGUAUAUGGAUACAUAUAUACACAUAUGUUUUUAUAUACAUUUUUAAAGUACUUUUCCAAAAUAUUAAAAUUUCAGGAUUUUAGGUUUUAUUUUAGGUUCCGAAGAUACAUGUGCAGGUUUGCUAUAUGGGUAAAUUGCAUGUUGCUGAGGGUUGAUGUACAAAUGAUCUCAUUAACCAGGUAGACAGCAGGGUACCAGAUAGGUAAUUUUUCGAACUUUGACCCCCUCCCACCUUUCCCCCUCUAGUAGCCCCCAGUGACUGUUGUUCCUAUCUUUAUGUCCUUGUAUUCAAUGUUUAGCUCCUAAUUAUAAGUGAGAACAAAAUAUGCAGAAUUGUGUUAUCUGUUCCUGCAUUAAAUUGCUUAGAAUAAUGGCCUCUAGCUUCAUCUGUGUUGUUGCAAAGAGCAUGAUUUUGUUGUUUCAUGACUGUUUAUUAUUCCAUGAUGUAUAUGUAGCACAUUUUCUUUAUCUGGUCCACUGUUGAUGGGCAUCUAGACCUUUGCUAUCGUGAAUAGUGCCAUGAUUAAACAUAAGAGUACAUGCAUCUUUUUGGUAGAACAAUUUAUUUGCCUUUGGUUAUAUACACAGUAAUGAGACUGCUGGGCUCUAUGGUAGUUCUGUUUUAAGUUCUUUGAGAAAUCUCAAAUGUUGUAAUGCAGUGUAUGACUACACUUUUUUUGACAAUUAUAAUCUGAGACUGUGUCCUCCAUCCAUAUCACUAUUCUAUAUAUUAAUUAACAUGUCUUCCAAAUGUUUUCUACUAUAUUUGUGUUGGAAUUGCUAUAAUUUUGUUUUCAACUCAAUUUUUUAAAAUUUUCUCUUUAUAAAAUAAUAUUCUUAUUAUUUUUCCAUAUGAGAAAAAACAAGCCCCAAACAUAGGGAUGGAAUAUAGGUGAGUAACAGAAUUCGACUUACUUUUAGGUUGUUGAAAUUGUAAUAUAAAUUUUAUAGGAAAAAAAUAGACAAUGCUGCUAUAUUUAGGGGAACUGAGAGAAAAUGAGGAAUCAGCUAGUGUGGAAUGUUAAGCAAUUAGGGGGAGAAACUGAGGCCUAUAAGUAUUUGAGUAUUCUCAGCAAUGGCUUACGAUAUUUUUACAAUGUCACCAUUCAACUAUUCCUCAGCAUAUUGCAAUCACUUCCUUAUUUCUUAAAGAUGGUGAAUGGUGAGGGUAAUUACCAAUAGGCAAUUAUCCUUAAGUGAACAUUUCCAAGUGUAUAAUUAGUUGAGAGGGCAAUUUCCAUUCCAUUUGGGUUAAUUUAGAUAGUUGAUUUUUACUGGAAGGGAAGAUUUAUUUUUUAAAAAGCAACUAUUUAACAGCAGGCAUGCCAGUCAUUUUUUAUAAAUGUCGCUUGCAAUCCUAAAUGCAAGCUCUAAAAGCUCUAAAAAGAAGUAUUCUUACUUGGACGGAAAGUUCACAGCAAGAAAAUUCACAUUAAAGGCAAGUAAACAUUGUGAAGUACAAUUUAGACAUUUAUUAAAUGUACAUUCUGGAAUUCUGAGAGAACACUUCUAAUUUUCAUAAAGGAAUACACUGGUUUAAUAUAAGAAGCCAUAUCAAAAUGUAUAUGCUUAGACAAUAGGAUCUUUCCUCAUAAGAAUUAAAUGACUUAUAAGUAAAAUGUAUACCCUCUUCCUUUUAAAAGUACAUAGUGUAAUGAGGAAGAGUGAAAUAAAUUGACUUAUUCAACACAGUGUAUUAUACUGAUGACUUCAGUAGUUAAGAAAUGCAUGAAGGUACUAGUAACAAAAAUCAGAAAUAAUAUUAAAUUUUAUUUUUCUCUCAAUUAAAUCCAAAUGUUCAAAGGCAAAUAGUCUAGGGCUGGUAUGACCAAACUGGCUUUUUGUGGUUUUUGCUUCUUAUCUUGAGAAAAUGGUUUUAAUUCUGAAGUCAUCUUAUAGUUCAAGAUGGCAUUUGAAACCCCAGCCAUCUAUUUUGGGAAGCAAGAGAAUGAAGAGGGGGAAGACAGAAAGAGAACUUUCUUUUAAAAUGAAUUUCUCCAGGAAUCACAUUCAACAAUUUCUUCUUACAUCUCAUUGACUAGAUAUAGUCUUAUAAUCACACCUGUCUACAAAAAGGCUGGAAAUCAAGGCUUUGAACUGGAAAUAUUUCUUUCUAAAUAAAUUGGUGUUCCAUUGCUUGAAAAAAAUGAGUACGGAUAUUGAGUUAGCAAAAUUAUAAUGAUAAUAACAACCAGCAGUCUCUGCCACAAUAAGAAUGAGCUUUUCUCAGUCCUCUGAGCUCAAGCUAAGCCACCAUAUCCCCUGUGACCUGCACAUACACAUCCAGAUGGCCGGUUCCUGCCUUAACUGAUGACAUUCCACCACAAAAAAAGAAAUGAAAAUGGCCUGUUCCUGCCUUAACUGAUGGCAUUAUCUUGUGAGGCAUCUCACCAAUUUCAAAUCCGUAUAAGAAGACAGGAAUGUCAGGCCUCUGAGCCCAAGCUAAGCCAUCAUAUCCCCUGUGACCUGCACAUACACAUCCACAUGGCCGGUUCCUGCCUUAACUGAUGACAUUCCACCACAAAAGAAGUGAAAAUGGCCUGUUCCUGCCUUAACUGUUGACAUUAUCUUGUGAAAUUCCUUCUCCUAGCUCAUCCUGGCUCAAAAGCUCCCCUACUGAGCACCUUGUGACCCCUACUCCUGCCCGCCAGAGAACAACCCCCCUUUUUCCUUUACCUACCCAAAUCCUAUAAAACAGCCCCACCCUUAUCUCCCUUCACUGACUUUCUUUUCGGACUCAGCCCACCUGCACCCAGGUGAAAUAAACAGCUUUAUUGCUCACACAA